GGAUAAAUAAUAUUUGUUUUAUUAGUGGGAAAAUCACAAAAAAGGUCCUAAUAACAUAGUGUAAUUAUAAUUUAGACUCUUCAACCAUAACAACACAUCUUAGCAGAUAUGAAAAUAACUUCAUACAACAUAUUAUAAUCCACUACAAUAUAUUUUCUCAAGCGUAUCCUAUUUCAUUACAAGGUUUCUGACUUGGGUUGAAACUCCCAGCAUUAGGCUGAGAGCUCUCUAAACUCCUCUUUGAUUGCAGGUAUCCACUCGUCUUGCAGGUACUCGUCUUGAUUUUGGCUGGGUUUCAGAACUCAUUUAUUAUCAGGUCCAAUUCCAAAGCUCAAGAGGCUUGAACUUUCAUUUGCUUAAAAUCAGUGACAUGUGACAAACAAGGUUAGCUUCAGGGGUUUGAGGAGCUAAACUUGAAAAAACGCAAAGUGGGAAAUUAUGCAGCCAAAAUAAACAAGCUAGAACCGCUUAAAUGACAAUGAACUAGCAGAGUCAAAUCCACAGCUUGACAAACUUAUCAUGACUGGCAGAAGCAACCAACCGAGUCACAGUUGAUACAGCUAAUGAAGCAAUUAAUCCUUCAUGAGCUGGAACGGUCAUAGACUUGUUCUCGGCCGUGUUCCAAAGCUCCAAAGACUGAAUAAAUGCCCAUGGUAGUGUAUCAGAAACAAAAACCAUACCACCCACAUAAUCAACAAAAAUUACAGCAAACAUUUUCAAGGUUCAAAAGUUCAUGUGAACCCAAAAUCUUAAACUAUAACAGUUAUUGCAAGGUCGAUCAACAAAUGAAGGAUUCCUACUUGCCUGGUCACAGCCAAUGAUUAGCAAUGAAGAGUUUGCAGGAUGAAAAACACAAGAGUGGAAUUUGCAGCCAUUAGAAAUCAACUCUUGAAUGCAUUCUCCCUCACCCCCUGAUCCAAGUUUCCAGAGUCUGAUAGCAUCCUCACUGACAGAUGCUAUAUACUCGCCUGAAGGAUCCCAGCACAGAAACUGAAUUGGUUUAACAUGUCCCUACAGUUAGCAGUUGAUAUCCACUAGAAUGUCAGCGAUACUGCAGUAAGCAAAGGCUGCUCAUGUUUGCUUUGCUUUGAGCUUCAGUAAACUAAGCACACACACAGACUCACAUAUUCAUCAGCUCAUCAAGGUUAUUAUCAGUGUUUAUAAGAAGACUAUAUGAAUGCAAAUCCACACUGUUGCUUUUUAUCUCCUGUUAAUUUAUUACAAGUUCACAUUCCCAUACCAACAUAAAUUAGCAACUAAAAAAAAAAAGAAAGUAUACUAAUAUGUCACCACAAAAUACCUGCCACGACACAAAUACACAUACAAUGCAGAUUUUCUUUGGAAAAAAGGACAUGCAUAAGUAAAUUCUAACAGCAUUCUUAACCAUGAUGAUUUAUGAAUCAUCACUUUUUAAGGGCUCAAGAAGGAUAGAGCAUCACUGCUCCACAUGAAUCCGAUAAGGUAUGACAUACCAAAAGCUGGUGUCAUAUCCCAGGAUUAACAUGGAUAAGAUAAAACUUUAAACUAACCUGUAAUAAAUGCCCACACGCUUGUGUCUCAACAUCUAGUAUAGACACAGCAUAAUCCUCAGCUGCAGCAAGAUACCUCCCUAGACGGGGUUGAAAUCUUAUCUGGGCUGAACCUCCCUAAUAAAAAAAAUAAAUAAAUAGCAUUGGGCAACUGAGACAUAAAACCGAAUGGCACUCCCUUGAAAAUGGAAGCAAAGUCAAGAACUAAGUAAAGAAAUAGAGAAAUGCCUCCAUUCAGUCCACAAGAUUCUACCUUGAACACUCCUGCACAGUUGCUGUCAGUAAUACUCCAGUACCGUAUCUCACCAUUCCCAUCACAAGAGCAGAUAAGGUCAUUUCUGUUUGGAUGGAAGUCUACUGACACAGCACAAGUAGAAUGUCCCCUAAAAAUAUGUAACGAGUCUCGAGGCUGCAUAACCAUUAUAAAGCAACAACAAUGUAAAUUGAUGAAGCAAUACCCAAAGGAUACAAAAAGUCAUAUUUUCUACUGAGAAGUAUCUUAUGACCAUUUCACAGGGAAAAAAUAUGACCAAGCUUGCUAAAGAUCUACCAGACACAUAGCAACAAAAUUCAGAUCUUAUCAAACAAGGAAAAAACUAAUAUUUUACACAUUUUAUUAACAACAAAAAUAUAAUGAGUAAAAGAGGCAAGAUAUCACUUCAGACUAAUAAUUUAUGCCUGUUUAAGGACAGAACAUGAUUCUUGGUCUAAACCUUAUGCUCGAUAGUCUCUAAUAUGCUCCCUUGCAAGCUAUGGACAUACUGUGCAUUUAAAUCACUCUAAUAUACCCGCAACUAAAGCUGACCCAAAUUUUCUGAACUUCAAAGAGAAUUACAUAUUAAUUCUCAACUUGGCAGCAAAAGCAAUUAACCUGUUAUUUCCACAUUAAUUUUCACAACAAAUAAAGAGUAUAGUCUCUUAUGUACAAAGGCCAAGAAACCACUUUAAGUUAUCUAAGAUUAGAUUAUAACUAUCAACACAUUGUGAAUGGCAAAUGGUCACUUGCUGCUGUCCAUAUGAUCAAGUUUUACCAUUGCGAUCAUCCCACCUGUUCUAAAGCGAAACAAGGAGAAAUUCCGCAGCCAUUUUAAUUUUUAAAACCCUCUACACCCAAAGCCACUGUAAUGAAAGACAAAAAGCAAAAUAUAAGCUUAAUUCAAUUCCAUCCACAACCCAUAAAAAUCCUAAAUAGAAAACCGUAACAGCAAUAUUACAUGUAUAAAAACAUGCCAAUGCAACCUUUAUAGUUAAUAACAUCCACAAGUAUAACAGGAUCAAAUUUCAAUUAUAAAGUCAAAUCUUCUUGAAAUUACUAACAUAUAUGCGUACACAAAUGAUAUGCACAAGUACCUUGUUAGUGCACAUGCAGUUGCACAAGAAUUUAUGGAUAGAGCUAUCCAGAAAAUAUAUCAUUUCUAAAGGGAAAAAGACAAAGGGGCUGCAAUAAUUGAGGCAAAGAAAUAGGAUGGAGAAAACAGAGAUUAUGUUAACUAACAUUGCCAGCAUCCCAGACCCUGAUAGUUUUGUCAAAUGAAGACGUUGCAAGAUAUGGCAUGCUAGGACUGAAACAGACGUCUGUAAUCAAAGAUGUAUGCCCUUCAAAGGUAGAUUUUGGCUUUAACCCAUCCGCAUACCACAAUACAGCCUUUUUGUCAUGGCCAGCAGUAGCAAGCCAU
rnacentral:misc_RNA from 1 species